CGGUGACGGUGGAAGUAGCUCGUUCCCCGGGACGUUGUUCCUUACGGAACUCCCCGGUGGAGAGGCUGCCAGGGGUCUUACCCCCCUCACCCCCUUGAGACAGGGGUUGUAGGGUGGUUUGAACUCCAGGGUGGGGUUGGAGGGGUGAGGCAGCUUUUGCUGUUCUUAUCCAUUCUAACCUCUCUUCUGUGCCUGGGGUCCUACUCCCCUCUCCUCCUUAGAACCUCGUGGAUGUUCUAAGGGAUCUCCUGGUGACGAGAGAUCCUCCCGUGGUCCAGAGGAGGAUGUUCUACCAUCAUUGAGAGGAAGUAAUCUAUGCUAUAUCAGGCGCUAAAGAAAAAUCUCAAUCUCCGCCGUUUAAAUGCAAGCAUGGUUGGCGAUUCAAUAGAAAAUGAGAGUCGCUUCAAUAUUUUUAAACAAAAAUAUUAAUUGUUGCAAGUUCCUGGCGCAAUAAUUUUGACGGUGACUACGAAGAAGUAUUCGGUGACAAUUACUGGAGAACAAAUGAAAAAACUUGUCCUUUGUUGUCGAAUGAAGUCACUUUCAAGAUGUGUUAAAUCAUAAUUAUUAAAAUGAUAAUUAUUAUUCUUGAGUCAACGGAAUCCAAUCAAGUGCAUAUAUUUCUUGAAAAAAAUCUCAUUAUGGAAGUGUGAUUGGAUGGAAAUUGAAGCGAGAAUGACUUUCAAUUAAUCGAAUGGCGUUUAAAAAUUGAAGACUAGAAAAAUACGCCAGAUAGUUCCAGAAAUUAAGUGCCUGAAGCAUCUACAGGGUCUUCGUCUGGAAGAAAAAAUCUCUAGGGAAGACAACGAGCUCCUUGACGAGGGAAUCAGCG